rnacentral:rRNA from 1 species
UACGUAGGGGGGCAAGCGUUGUCCGGAUUUAUUGGGCGUAAAGAGCGUGUAGGCGGCCUGAAAGGUCAGCUGUGAAAACUCGAGGCUCAACCUCGAGACGUCGGUUGAAACCAUCUGGCUAGAGUCCGGAAGAGGAGAGUGGAAUUCCCGGUGUAGCGGUGAAAUGCGCAGAUAUCGGGAAGAACACCGGUGGCGAAGGCGGCUCACUGGCUCAUUUCUGACGCUCAUGCACGACAGCGUGGGGAUCAAACAGG